ensembl:lncRNA
GUAAUGGGGAUAAUGGGGAGGAAAGGGUUAAUGGGGGGGGAAUGGGGAGAAAGGGGUUAAUGAGGUUAAUGGGGUUCAAUGGGGUCAAAGGGGUCAAUGGUGUCAGUGGGGUUAAUGGGGUUCAAUGAGGUUAAUGGGGUUAAUGGGGGUCAAUGGGGUCAAUGGGGUUAAUGGGGUUCAAUGGGGUGAAUGGGGGCAAUGGGGUUCAAUGGGGGCAGUGGGGUUAAUGGGGUUCAAUGGGGUAAUGGGGUUAAUGGGGUGGAAACGGUUAAUGGGGUUCAAUGGGGUUAAUGGGGUUCAAUGGGGGCAAUGGGGAGGAAAAGGUUAAUGGGGUUCAAUGGGGUUCAAUGGGGUUAAUGGGGGCAAUGGAGAGGAAGGGGUUAAUGGGGUUCAAUGGGGUUAAUGGGGUUCAAUGGGAUUAAUGGGGUUUAAUGGGGUUCAGUGGGGGUUCAAUGGGGUUCAAAGGGGUUAAUGGUCUCAAUGGGGUUAAUGGGGUUAAUGGGGUUCAAUGGGGUUAAUGGGGGCAAUGGGGGCAAUGGGGUUAAUGGGGGCAAUGGGGAGGAAGGGGUUAAUGGGUUCAAUGGGGGAUCAAUGGGGUUCAAUGGGGUUAAUGGGGGUCAAUGGGGGCAAUGGGGCUCAAUAGGGGCAAGGGGGAGGAAGGGGUUAACGGCGUUCAAUGGGGUUAAUGGGGUUCAAUGGGGUUAAUAGGGUUAAUGGGGUUCAAUGGGGUUCAAUGGGGUUAAUGGGGUUAGUGGGGUUAAUGGGCUUCAGUGGGGGCAAUGGGGUUAAUGGGGUUCAAUGGGGUUAAUGGGGGCAAUGGGGGCAAUGGGGAGGAAGGGGUUAAUGGGGUCAAUGGGGUUCAAUGGGGUUAAUGGGGUUAAUGGGGGCAAUGGGGAGGAAGGGGUUAAUGGGGUCAAUGGGGUCAAUGGGGUUAAUGGGGUUCAAUGGGGUUAAUGGGGGCAAUGGGGGCAAUGGGGAGGAAGGGGUUAAUGGGGUUCAAUGGGAGUUCAAUGGGGUUCGACGGGGUUAAUGGGGUUCAAUGGGGUCAGCAGUGGGGUUAGAAGGUCAACGGGGUCACGUGGUGAAGGGGUCACGUGGUGGGAGGUCACGUGGUGGG